rnacentral:rRNA from 1 species
UGGGGAAUCUUGCACAAUGGGGGCAACCCUGAUGCAGCGACGCCGCGUGAGCGAUGAAGCCCUUCGGGGCGUAAAGCUCUUUCGACCGGAACGAUAAUGACGGUACCGUGAGAAGAAGCUGCGGCUAACUACGUGCCAGCAGCCGCGGUAAUACGUAGGCAGCAAGCGUUGUUCGGAGUUACUGGGCGUAAAGAGUGCGUAGGCGGUUUUCUAAGUUCGGUGUGAAAUCUCCCGGCUUAACUGGGAGGGUGCGCCGAAGACUGGGAAGCUGGAGUGUGGGAAAGGCAGGCGGAAUUCCUGGUGUAGCGGUGAAAUGCGUAGAUAUCAGGAGGAACACCGGCGGUGUAGACGGCUUGCUAGACCAUAACUGACGCUGAGGCACGAAAGCGUGGGUAGCAAAC